AGCAAGCCAUGGCUGUAGAGAAUGAUGGAGAUAGGAGGUAUUGUAAACUUAAAUUUCAAACAUUGAAACUGACAUAAUAUGGCUAAAUGUUCAUCUGAAAAUACAUAUUGAUGAAUUGGACUCUAGUAAAGAGGGAGUGGAUUAACAGAGAGGCUAGGGCAUCGUAGCAGGAAGAAUGACUCAUAGUGAGUCGAGAGGAGAG
rnacentral:lncRNA from 1 species